rnacentral:rRNA from 1 species
GAUGAACGCUGGCGGCGUGCCUAAUACAUGCAAGUCGAGCGAACAGACGAGGAGCUUGCUCCUCUGACGUUAGUGGCGGACGGGUGAGUAACACGUGGAUAACCUACCUAUAAGACUGGGAUAACUUCGGGAAACCGGAGCUAAUACCGGAUAAUAUAUUGAACCGCAUGGUUCAAUAGUGAAAGACGGUUUUGCUGUCACUUAUAGAUGGAUCCGCGCCGCAUUAGCUAGUUGGUAAGGUAACGGCUUACCAAGGCAACGAUGCGUAGCCGACCUGAGAGGGUGAUCGGCCACACUGGAACUGAGACACGGUCCAGACUCCUACGGGAGGCAGCAGUAGGGAAUCUUCCGCAAUGGGCGAAAGCCUGACGGAGCAACGCCGCGUGAGUGAUGAAGGUCUUCGGAUCGUAAAACUCUGUUAUUAGGGAAGGACAAAUGUGUAAGUAACUAUGCACGUCUUGACGGUACCUAAUCAGAAAGCCACGGCUAACUACGUG